ACGGGAGCGCCGCACCGGCCGGCAUGGAGGAGCGCGGCGAUUCCGAGCCGACCCCCGGCUGCAGCGGCCUGGGUCCGGGCGGUGUUCGCGGCUUUGGCGACGGCGGCGGAGCUCCCUCGUGGGCCCCCGAGGACGCCUGGAUGGGCACUCACCCUAAGUAUUUAGAAAUGAUGGAAUUAGAUAUAGGAGAUGCCACCCAAGUUUAUGUAGCAUUCUUGGUUUACCUGGACCUCAUGGAAAGCAAAAGCUGGCAUGAAGUAAACUGUGUAGGAUUACCAGAACUCCAGCUCAUCUGCCUUGUUGGUACUGAGAUAGAAGGGGAGGGGUUACAGACUGUGGUGCCUACCCCCAUCACUGCUUCCCUCAGCCAUAACAGAUAUUGGUGUGCCACUUUUGAAGAAGGAAAAUACUUAGCUACACUAAAAGAUUUGCAUUGAAGAAGCGAUUGUGAUAUGCUGCCUUUUAUCACAGUGUGACUUCCCAUCAGUGCUGAGUAAUGAAGUUUCUGAUUAAUAUCUAUCGUUGCUUUAUCAGAAUAUCUUUCUCUAAAGUAAAUCAUUCUUAUGAAUAAGA
rnacentral:sRNA from 1 species